CAAGACCUUGCGCUUUUGGAGCGGCCGAUGUCUGAUUAGCUAGUUGGUGAGGUAAAGGCUUACCAAGGCUUCGAUCAGUAGCUGGUCUGAGAGGACGACCAGCCACACUGGGACUGAGACACGGCCCAGACUCCUACGGGAGGCAGCAGUGGGGAAUUUUGGACAAUGGGGGAAACCCUGAUCCAGCCAUGCCGCGUGAGUGAAGAAGGCCAACGGGUUGUAAAGCUCUUUCAGCCGGAACGAAACGGUCACGGCUAAUACCCGUGAUCACUGACGGUACCGGAAGAAGAAG
rnacentral:rRNA from 1 species